AGCGAACGCUGGCGGCAGGCUUAACACAUGCAAGUCGAACGCCCCUCAAGGGGAUUGGCAGACGGGUGAGUAACACGUGGGAACGUACCCUUUGGUUCGGAAUAACUUGGGGAAACUCAAGCUAAUACCGGAUAAGCCCUUAUGGGGAAAGUUUACUGCCGAAGGAUCGGCCCGCGUAUGAUUAGCUAGUUGGUGAGGUAAAGGCUCACCAAUGCGACGAUCGGUAGCUGGACUGUGAGGAUGAUCAGCCACACUGGGACUGAGACACGGCCCAGAGUACUACGGGAGGCAGCGGUGGUGAAUAUUGGAGAAUGGGGGCAACCCUGAUCCAGCCAUGCCGCGUACGUGAUGAAGGCGUUAGGGUUGUAAAGCUCUUUUACCCGGGACGAUAAUGACUGUACCGGGAGAAUAAGCCCCGGCUAACUUCGUGCCAGCAGCCGCCGUAA
rnacentral:rRNA from 1 species